rnacentral:rRNA from 1 species
UACGAAGGGGACUAGCGUUGUUCGGAAUCACUGGGCGUAAAGAGCUCGUAGGCGGUCUGUUGCGUCUGCUGUGAAAACCCGGGGCUUAACCCCUGGCUUGCAGUGGAUACGGACAGACUAGAGGUAGGUAGGGGAGAAUGGAAUUCCCGGUGUAGCGGUGAAAUGCGCAGAUAUCGGGAGGAACACCGGUGGCGAAGGCGGUUCUCUGGGCCUUACCUGACGCUGAGGAGCGAAAGCGUGGGGAGCGAACAGG